UGACUAAAAUGGAAAUUGUUUACAUUAUUACGCAAGUGUAAUUUGAAUCUGAUCUCUUACUAUUUCAGGAAAAAGGGGAAGGAAAGAAAUGACGAAGUGAUAGGAUUUCAAACUCAACACUUUAACUAAAAUUCAUUUUUAAAAUAAUAUAUUUUGCUUUAUCUAACAAUGUUUCUUUCCCACAGUUAAACAAUGUAGAAGAGGGAAAAAGAUACAUCCGAUAUGCCAUAAGGACAAAGCUGUUUAGCUCAAGAGAUAUUCUGGGGGCAAUAGAAAAAGAGAGAAAAACAUUAAAGGACCAAAAAGUAACAUCUGGUGUCCCGAGUGCUGUUUGGCGAGGAGAGCAGCUGAAGGAAGCUGUUUCAGAGACGUCUAAGGACCAGGAGGAUGUAACAUCUGGUGUCCCGGAUGCUCUGUGGAAAGGAGAGCAGCUGGAGGGAGCUACUUCGGAGACGUCCAAGGACCAGGAGGAUGUAACAUCUGGUGUCCCGGGUGCUCUGUGGGAAGGAGAGCAGCUGGAGGGAGCUACUUCGGAGACGUCCAAGGACCAGGAGGAUGUAACAUCUGGUAUCCCGAGUGCUCAGUGGGAAGGAGAGCAGGUGGAGGGAGCUACUUUGGAGACGUCCAAGGACCAGGAGGAUGUAACAUCUAGUACCACACUAACAUCUGGUGUCCUGAGUGCUCUUUGGCGAGGACGGCAGCUGAG